rnacentral:misc_RNA from 1 species
AAGUCGUAACAAGGUUUCCGUAGGUGAACCUGCGGAAGGAUCAUUAACUAUCCCCCCGCAAGGGGGCGCGGCCGCGGUGCGAUUCGUCGCCCCGCGGUGCCGUGUAGUCCUUGCCUUUUCGAGUACUGUUCGUUUCCUCGGCGGGUCCGCCCGCCAGCGAGGACGCAAAUCAAACCCUGAAGUUAGCCGUAUCAGUCUGAAAAACAAAACAAAUCUAUUAAAACUUUCAACAACGGAUCUCUUGGUUCUG